CCUACGGGAGGCAGCAGUGGGGAAUAUUGCACAAUGGGGGAAACCCUGAUGCAGCGACGCCGCGUGAGUGAAGAAGUAUUUCGGUACGUAAAGCUCUAUCAGCAGGGAAGAAAAAAAGUCCUUUGGACUUUGGACGGUACCUGACCAAGAAGCCCCGGCUAACUACGUGCCAGCAGCCGCGGUAAUACGUAGGGGGCAAGCGUUAUCCGGAUUUACUGGGUGUAAAGGGAGCGUAGACGGCAGCGCAAGUCUGGAGUGAAAUGCCGGGGCUCAACCCCCGGACUGCUCUGGAAACUGUACGGCUGGAGUGCAGGAGAGGGAAGUAGAAUUCCUAGUGUAGCGGUGAAAUGCGUAGAUAUUAGGAGGAACACCAGUGGCGAAGGCGGCUUACUGGACUGUAACUGACGUUGAGGCUCGAAAGCGUGGGGAGCAAACAGGAUUAGAUACCCGAGUAGUC
rnacentral:rRNA from 1 species